UGAGUGUGUGUUUGGCCAUGCAGAUUUCAUAACUACAACUGAUGUUCAAUUACAAUGGAUAUUAAUCAGUCUCACUGUGCCUAAUCACUGUGCCUAGUUUCAUCCUCAGAGACUGAUGUGUAAGCUUAAAGUAAAGACAUCAAAUCAAAGUAUCAGCCAUCAAGAGGAAAAACAUUCGAAAUCAUAUUGUGAUACACAAGUCAAGCAAGUCUAUGACCAGCAUUUUGAUACAGGCCAAGAAAAAGCUGGAUACUUGAUUGGAAGGGUGGCACAAAAAACAUGGAUUAUCACUAGGGAAACAAGCUCGCAAUACAGUUCACUGUUAGGACAGCAAGCCAAAUACUUCUAAACUUAUUUGAAUCAUUUUUGCUGUUUAUUAUAAUUCAUCCAAUUGUCUUAUUAAAUAUAUAAAUUUAUAUAUAUACACAAUUCCUAAUAUAGAAUUUCUAAAAAUGUUUUAUUAUAAUAUUUAAAAAUGAAACAAACAUGUUCCCAGAACACAACCACAUAAUGUCAACAUGUUCCCAGAACACAGCCACAUAAUGUCAACAUGUUCCCAGAACACACAAAAUGGCAACAUGUUCCCAGAACACAGCCAAAUAAUGUCAACAUGUUCCAUGAACUCACAAAAUGGCAACAUGUUCCCAGAACACACUAAAUGUCAUUAUGUGCCCAGAACACACAAAAUGGCAACAUGUUCCCAGAACACACAAAAUGACAACAUGUGCCGAGAACAAUGCCCCUUACAGAUGACGUGUUCCCAGAACACAGCCCGUAGUUGGCCUGCCAUAAAAAGUUAACAAUACUUCACUUUUUCCUUAACAAUUUUACAAGCAGGUAAGAAAGCCAUAAAUCUUUACUGUGGUGGAUAUAGCCAAUAAAAGUAGGGUAACCUUCACUAUAUGCAAUUUGUAGUUUUCAAUGCCUGUCCCAUGCAUAUUAUUUAGCCUAGUGUUUUGGGCCUUGCUUCAUUUACUCAAUAAAUUAUAUAGGCAUGAGAAUUUUCAUUUUAAUCUGCAAAAGCUACAUUCUGUAGAUUAUUAUUUUCAAACGACAUCAUAUAUUUUUCUCUUCUCUGAUAAAAAAUAUUCCUCAUAUUGUUUGUGUCAAGUAUUUUAUUUUUAUCUAUGCAAUACUAUAUUCCUAUUUUAUAAUAAUUACUUAG